CAUAAACAAAGACCUCCUAACUUUGUUUAAAAAUCCUAAACUUUUUUCAUAAUAAUCUCCUGAAAGUCACCCUAGUGGUGGCUUUCUU
rfam:Streptococcus sanguinis VMC66 contig00004, whole genome shotgun sequence.